rnacentral:tRNA from 1 species
GUCCCCGUCGUCUAGCCCGGCCUAGGACACCGGCCUUUCACGCCGGCGACGCGGGUUCGAAUCCCGCCGGGGACGCCA